rnacentral:rRNA from 1 species
UACGUAGGUGGCAAGCGUUUGUCCGGAUUUACUGGGCGUAAAGAGCGCGCAGGCGGUCGUCCAAGUCGCGUGUGAAAGCCCCCCGGCUCAACUGGGGAGGGUCACGCGAUACUGGUCGACUCGAAGGCAGGAGAGGGUAGUGGAAUUCCCGGUGUAGUGGUGAAAUGCGUAGAUAUCGGGAGGAACACCAGUGGCGAAGGCGACUACCUGGCCUGUUCUUGACGCUGAGGCGCGAAAGCUAGGGGAGCAAACGGG